UCGGGCCCGUCUACCAACGAGAGGCACCGCUUGAGGCCAGAGCGGCCUCCCAUCCCUGGAGGUCCACGUUGGUCUCCGCGCCGGGGCGGGGGCCCAGGGACUGCUCCUGUGCGUUGGGGGCGCCACUUUAUCCGUGGUAAGGGAAGGAGGAAAGCAGGAUGUUGCCUCUCUAGGCCUAGGCUUUCCUCAGUAUUCCGAAUGUCUGGUUGCCAUAGCAACUUGCAAUCCUUCUGAGUCUCCUGUAAAGGCUCAGGGGAGUAUGAGUUGAGUGGGGCCUGGGUCACCCAAGAUUGUAGGGAUAGAGCCCCCAGGACUACCUUCCCGACCUUGUAGUGUGUCCACAGCUUCUUUCCGGGGAAGACAAGAAGAGAUACUUUGAGCCCAGUUCCCCCAGCUUUCUUGGGUCCCUGGAAGCCCUGCCCAACCAAGCUCGGGGAACGCAGGGCGUCUUCACCCCGCGCCUUUCAUCCCCCCUGGAUCUCCAAGCACCAACUGGUUCAUCACCCUAAUGACGCUGACCGUUUUAUGAGGCUGCUUUCAUGUCAACCGCUUGGGAGUGCCAUCUCAGCAUUAAGCCUAAGGAGGCUGACAUGACAUGGCGCCCCAGACCCUGCCCCGGAGUUUAUAAGGCAACUCAUGGGGUGAGGGCCCCGCUCCUCAGUGUCCCCAGUACUCCCACCUCUCAUAAACUCUGUUCAACACGCUUGUCUGGCUGAAUGCAGAGUGGACUGGGAAUUCACAGAGGGCAUGUCACAGCUUAAUUAUCUUUAUAGUAUUUUCCUUACCUAAACCAAUAAUAUUUGUGGAGUUGAAUUAAAUUGGGUCGUUCUGCAGUUAAAUCAGGAGAGUUUGAGGUUAUAAUUUAAAGCAAGGGAGAAUUAAAGUAAGGGGACAUGGGAAUUUUAAGAUCUAGGGCUGGGGAAGUAACUGGUAGAGCACUUGCCUACCAAACAUGAGGCCCCGGAUUUGAUACCCAGAAUUAUAAAAUAAAAAUUAAAAAAAAAAUAACUCCUUACUUAAGGAAAACAGUGCCAACGUCUCUGCCUGUCAUAGUGCUGAGGGAGCCAAAACCACAGGGCCACCGGGUAGAAAAGGACUGGUGAAGCUCAGUUGCUUGGAUGGGAGAGGUCAUUUGUCCAGCUAUGAUUCAGUAGCUUAGCCCUUUCCUAUAUACCUCCUCUGUGCUCUUUGGAGGCCACAAGACUCACAGAGCAUUUGCCCUGAUGGCUAGUGGCUCACAAUCUUAAAGUCUAAGAGCUAGCCUGUAUUUGACCAUUUCCCACUUCGGUUCUCUAUAUCUGAGCCAACACAUUUACUCCCUCAGCUUUAAUUUCAUCUGAUUCUCAACUCAUGCUAUCUCCAACAUAGGCUUUUUUUUUUCUCCCCAGAGUUCCAGACCUGUAUAUCCAACUACCUACCAGAUAUGUCUGGGAUGUUUCACAAAUUCCCAAGGCUUAACAUGUUUAUUGAACUUAUUCUCUCCCCACCCCUCAAAAAAGAACAAAUGUUGUAUUCGAUUCUCUUUCCUGAAUUCCCUAUAUUGUUGAAUGGAAUCAACUACUUGGCCACCAAGUGGGAAACAUGGAGGAAAUCAUGAAUUCCUCAUUUUUUUCUCAUUCUUGAUUUCAAGUUUACUACCAAGCCUUGUUGAUUCUCCUAUCAAAUAUCUUCCAAAUCUAUAUAUCCUCUUCCCAUUCCAAUCCAGACUCUUGUCAUUUCUUUUUUUCACUCAGAGAAGACUACAGUAGUCCCCUAAUUGUUCCCUGAUCUCAUCUCUCUCUGGUCUUGGCUGUUCUACAAGUGACCUGAAAAGGGAAACACUGAUCAAAUUUCACUGGUUUGAAACCUAUCAAUGGUUUUCCACUGCUGUGAGUUUGAUCUCUGGCCUAUGUGAGGAUGGCCUAAGGUCUGAGCCUAAGCAACUCCAUUUUAAAAACUCCAGUUUGAAAACUGCAGUCUCACCAUGCAUGCCUAAUGGAGAGACCACCAGUAUGGCCCUCAGGCACAAACAAGUCACUUCUCCCCACCCUGAUAAACUCAGAUUGAAGCCUCUGGCAGGCUGUUCAUGCCUGCCCAGGGAAAAGCACCCCAAAAGAGAGAAAGGCGAAAAGAUCAGGGUGGGAUCCACUACACCAGAUGGUUUAACCCCAGAGUAAAUGAUGUCACUGAGAAAUGGUGGCAGCUGGUAAGGAUUAAAAGGGGGACAAAAGCUCCAAAUUUGGUAUAAAUAACAGAGCAAAUGAACAGAUAUUCAGCCAGCCAACACUGAUGCCCUCACGCUGAGAGCCUGAUGAGGACCUGGACUGGCAUCUCAACACUUUUUAUUGUUGCUGAUCCUCUGCAUCUUCCUCACCACUCUUAAACUCUAUAGCCACAUCUUGACCCUGGUGACAGUCACAACUUCUCCCUAUGACCCUCUCCUCAACCAGCCAUCAGCUCCACCUCAGGAGAAGCCUGCCUUGGUUCCUGACCCGAUCACUCCAAUCUGAGUGAGUGUGCAUCUGCUGGACUUAAAGCCUAAGGCUUGAGACUUUUGAUCUGACACGCAGAGGGAAUGUGUGUCAUUAGCCUGUCAUAAUUAAGUGUUUGCAGUGUUUAGAAUUAAUCUAGAAUGGUUUGCUGGGAAUCAAUCUAGAAUUGUUUGCUGUGAAUUGAUUAUGUUGUUGCAGUGUCUAACAUUAAGGGUUGUCGUUUUCUCGAUUAAGAACCUAUAGAGUGAAAUUGUAUUGAGUGAUUUGAGUGAAUAAAGCAUUGACUAGGGCACAAGUGCGUGGACAUUCUUUAUUUCUCCCCCUGGACUGCAAAAGUCACACCUUUUACUCAUUUUGACAGCCUGCCACACAGACUUUUGGUUAUAUGGCUACUUUCUACCAAUAUUGAACCCAAAUGCUUGUAGUUCCAGAAAAUGCCAUGACUCUUGCAAUGUUUUUGCCCCCCCUAGUGAAGCCAGAAUUAGACAGGCAGUCAGUAUAGAUAGGUAAAUCGAGUCAGGUCAGAUCAAGGAGGCCAAUUUUGAGUGAUUCUGAGAAAUUGGAGACUGUCCCCUGAGGGAUUGAAUGUUAAUUCCUUCAGAGCCCUUCCUCCACCCUUAUCAAGAAUCUGCCCCUGCCCCAACCUGUUGCUAUAGUAACUUAUCCCAGGGAGCUAUAAGAUUGUUAAUUAAUGUGUCCUUGGCUGCUCCACCCUGCCCUUCCCCCUUCAGCCCACCUGUUUUCCACCUUUUGGCUACCCCACCAAGCAUUCCUGGGCUUAAUCAUCACAUACCCGGAAGGAGAAAGAUAAGAGGAAGAGAGCAGGAGAACAAAGGAAGUCUAGGACAUAUAAAAAGGGCAGAAUGCCUCCCUUCUUGGGAUACCUUCUCCCUCCUAGGAGAAGUCUGUUAACCCUAGGUUUUUUUUGGUACAGGGGACUGAACUCAGGGGUACCCGACCACUGAACCACAUCCCCAGCCCCCCCUCCUUUUAAAAUUUACAGAUAUGGUCUCAUUGAGUUGCUUUGUGCCACAGCAUUGCUGAGGCUGGCUUUGAACUCAUGAUCCUCCUACCUCAGCCUCCCAAGUUGCUGGGUUUACAGGCAUGUGGCACCGUGCCCAGCUCUGUUACCAUAUGUGUGUGUGUGUAUAAAAAGUUGUUGAUUGACCUUUAUUUAUUUAUUUAUAUGUAGUGCUGAGAAUUGAACCCAGUGCCUCACACAUGCCAGGCAAGUGCACUACCACUGAGCCAUAACCCCAGACCUUCUGUUACCCCUUUUUAAAUAAACCCUGCUUUAUAUGCUUGCCUCAGCAUGCUUCUCUAAUGUUCAAAGUUCAAUAUGUGAGGAAGCAGAACUCCACCUAUAACUGGCGGUAUCACUAGGGUACCCUUUCCCCCUAAGCCUUUCAAACCUUUACACAGACAUAACCUCUUUCUGGAAUUUCUGCUUGAUGUUGCUGCCCCCAAGUUAAAUAUCCCUUUUUGGGGGCCCUCCAUGGCACCUUUGUAACAGUACUCACCAUAAUGUACUGU
rnacentral:lncRNA from 1 species